CCAAUUCCGCUGGAUGGGGAGUUGGGGAGCGUGCGGCUGAGGGUCUGGGAUGCAGGGAAGGAGGGGGAAAGGGAGAUGUGUGAUGGAGAAGGGGGAUGUUCCAGUUUGUGAUUUUGGGGGUUCUGCCUGUGCAGCCACAGGAGCUGCCCUGAAUCCUCUCUCUGUCCCCAUCCAGGUCUCCCGGGGGUGCUCCUGAGCCUCUCCUGCCCCAGGGGAUGCCCCAGUUCACCUUCGCUUGCUUCUGCGGGCUCCAUGGCUUCUGCAAGAUGAAGAGGAAGAAAGAAGAGUCCAGCGCCGAGCAGGAGACGGCAGUGUGAGGAGCAGAGUCGUGUGUGUGCCCCGCUGAGCUGUGCCUCGGGACCCCCCGUCCCCUUCCCCUCGAUACUUGCAUGGCUGGGGGAGAGCCCGAGCAUGGGAAUGACCUUGCCGAGAUGAUGUAGAAGCAGGUGCUGUGGAUGUUAUCAAGGUGCUGCACCAAUUCUACCCCCUGACACCCAGCCCGGCCAGGCACGGAGCCCUGGGGACCUGAGCAGCCACUGUCGGAGGGACCCUGGGUCCCAGCCGGGUAGAGGUUUCCCUCCUGAGCGAGCCGACCUGCCCUUGCUCCAACAAGUCUCAACAGACAGACCUGGAGAGGUUUCCAAAAGCUGGGGCCAGCCCUUGUCCCUCCUGGAGUCGUGGUGCCGGAGAGGCUGGUCCCUGGCUGCUAUCACCUGAAAAUCACCGCCUUUUCUCCCUUGCGAGGGCAGGAUUUUUUCCCAGCUGCUCGACGUUCCCGUGCUGACCCGCUGCCCUCCUGGGGGAUUGCGCAGAGAAAUACCGAGGGCAGCCUGAUAAAAUCUGCAGGGUCACGGUCCGGCUCCAUCCUCCCAGCCCGUCCCUGCUCGCCUCUGCCUUCCAAAAACAACCGGUCUUUGUGGCUGCCCCAAAACACGGUGUUUUCCAGAAGGUUGCUGGGAGGACGGAGCACAGGCAGUCACAGGCAGCUCCAGGUGGGCACGGGGAAGCUCACGCUGCUUUGGGAAAAUGCUGACCUUGUUCUAUUCCUAUUUUUGCACAUCAGCACAGCCUCCCGAAUUCAGGGUUUGCAGCCCCGGUGCUGUCCUUGGCGAGGACCUUUGGAGUUAUCUUUGGGCCAAAAAAAAAAAAAAAAAAAAGAAGGAAGUCAGUGAAACACGAAGCGUAUUUCUUGAAUGUAACUUUAUUUUUGCACAGUCUCCCCUGUACCGUGUGGUGACCCUGCGAGUGAUGCACUCGUGGACUUCAACCACCGGGGAUUAACCACUGCCCUGGAGUUUAUUCCAAGUGUAAAGAUAUGGGUGAAACUCAACCUUUGCUUUAUGCUGGUAUAAAUCCAGAGAGACAGUCUGUGUACUGAGGUGUCUACA
rnacentral:lncRNA from 1 species